AACGAACGCUGGCGGCAGGCCUAACACAUGCAAGUCGAGCGAAGCCUUCGGGCUUAGCGGCGGACGGGUGAGUAACGCGUGGGAACGUGCCCUUUGGUACGGAAUAGCCCCGGGAAACUGGGAGUAAUACCGUAUGUGGUCGAGAGACGAAAGAUUUAUCGCCAAAGGAUCGGCCCGCGUUGGAUUAGGUAGUUGGUGGGGUAAUGGCCUACCAAGCCGACGAUCCAUAGCUGGUUUGAGAGGAUGAUCAGCCACACUGGGACUGAGACACGGCCCAGACUCCUACGGGAGGCAGCAGUGGGGAAUCUUAGACAAUGGGGGAAACCCUGAUCUAGCCAUGCCGCGUGAUCGAUGAAGGCCUUAGGGUUGUAAAGAUAGAGAAGUGGGGAAGAUAAUGACUGUACCCACAGAAGAAGCCCCGGCUAACUCCGUGCCAGCCGCCGCCGUAACAC
rnacentral:rRNA from 1 species